rnacentral:tRNA from 4 species
GGAGGAGUGUCCGAGUGGUUUAAGGAGGCGGUCUUGAAAACCGUUAGGCCGAAAGGCCUCGUGGGUUCGAAUCCUACCUCCUCCGCCA